rnacentral:rRNA from 1 species
CCUACGGGUGGCAGCAGUGAGGAAUAUUGGUCAAUGGGCGCGAGCCUGAACCAGCCAAGUAGCGUGAAGGAUGACUGCCCUACGGGUUGUAGACUUCUUUUAUAAGGGGAUAAAGUGAGGCACGCGUGCCUUUUUGUAUGUACUUUAUGAAUAAGGAUCGGCUAACUCCGUGCCAGCAGCCGCGGUAAUACGGAGGAUCCGAGCGUUAUCCGGGUUUAUUGGGUUUAAAGGGAGCGUAGAUGGGUUGUUAAGUCAGUUGUGAAAGUUUGCGGCUCAACCGUAAAAUUGCAGUGGAUACUGGCAGUCUUGAGUACAGUUGAGGUAGGCGGAAUUCGCGGUGUAGCGGUGAAAUGCUUAGAUAUCGCGAAGAACUCCGAUUGCGAAGGCAGCUUACUGUACUGCCACUGACAUUGAGGCUCGAAAGUGCGGGUAUCAAACAGGAUUAGAUACCCUUGUAGUC